AGCGUACACGGUGGAUGCCCUGGCAGUCAGAGGCGAUGAAGGACGUGCUAAUCUGCGAUAAGCGUCGGUAAGGUGAUAUGAACCGUUAUAACCGGCGAUUUCCGAAUGGGGAAACCCAGUGUGUUUCGACACACUAUCAUUAACUGAAUCCAUAGGUUAAUGAGGCGAACCGGGGGAACUGAAACAUCUAAGUACCCCGAGGAAAAGAAAUCAACCGAGAUUCCCCCAGUAGCGGCGAGCGAACGGGGAGCAGCCCAGAGCCUGAAUCAGUAUGUGUGUUAGUGGAAGCGUCUGGAAAGGCGCGCGAUACAGGGUGACAGCCCCGUACACAAAAAUGCACAUGCUGUGAGCUCGAUGAGUAGGGCGGGACACGUGGUAUCCUGUCUGAAUAUGGGGGGACCAUCCUCCAAGGCUAAAUACUCCUGACUGACCGAUAGUGAACCAGUACCGUGAGGGAAAGGCGAAAAGAACCCCGGCGAGGGGAGUGAAAAAGAACCUGAAACCGUGUACGUACAAGCAGUGGGAGCUCGCUUAGGCGUGUGACUGCGUACCUUUUGUAUAAUGGGUCAGCGACUUAUAUUCUGUAGCAAGGUUAACCGAAUAGGGGAGCCGAAGGGAAACCGAGUCUUAACUGGGCGUUAAGUUGCAGGGUAUAGACCCGAAACCCGGUGAUCUAGCCAUGGGCAGGUUGAAGGUUGGGUAACACUAACUGGAGGACCGAACCGACUAAUGUUGAAAAAUUAGCGGAUGACUUGUGGCUGGGGGUGAAAGGCCAAUCAAACCGGGAGAUAGCUGGUUCUCCCCGAAAGCUAUUUAGGUAGCGCCUCGUGAAUUCAUCUCCGGGGGUAGAGCACUGUUUCGGCAAGGGGGUCAUCCCGACUUACCAACCCGAUGCAAACUGCGAAUACCGGAGAAUGUUAUCACGGGAGACACACGGCGGGUGCUAACGUCCGUCGUGAAGAGGGAAACAACCCAGACCGCCAGCUAAGGUCCCAAAGUCAUGGUUAAGUGGGAAACGAUGUGGGAAGGCCCAGACAGCCAGGAUGUUGGCUUAGAAGCAGCCAUCAUUUAAAGAAAGCGUAAUAGCUCACUGGUCGAGUCGGCCUGCGCGGAAGAUGUAACGGGGCUAAACCAUGCACCGAAGCUGCGGCAGCGACGCUUAUGCGUUGUUGGGUAGGGGAGCGUUCUGUAAGCCUGUGAAGGUGUGCUGUGAGGCAUGCUGGAGGUAUCAGAAGUGCGAAUGCUGACAUAAGUAACGAUAAAGCGGGUGAAAAGCCCGCUCGCCGGAAGACCAAGGGUUCCUGUCCAACGUUAAUCGGGGCAGGGUGAGUCGACCCCUAAGGCGAGGCCGAAAGGCGUAGUCGAUGGGAAACAGGUUAAUAUUCCUGUACUUGGUGUUACUGCGAAGGGGGGACGGAGAAGGCUAUGUUGGCCGGGCGACGGUUGUCCCGGUUUAAGCGUGUAGGCUGGUUUUCCAGGCAAAUCCGGAAAAUCAAGGCUGAGGCGUGAUGACGAGGCACUACGGUGCUGAAGCAACAAAUGCCCUGCUUCCAGGAAAAGCCUCUAAGCAUCAGGUAACAUCAAAUCGUACCCCAAACCGACACAGGUGGUCAGGUAGAGAAUACCAAGGCGCUUGAGAGAACUCGGGUGAAGGAACUAGGCAAAAUGGUGCCGUAACUUCGGGAGAAGGCACGCUGAUAUGUAGGUGAAGUCCCUCGCGGAUGGAGCUGAAAUCAGUCGAAGAUACCAGCUGGCUGCAACUGUUUAUUAAAAACACAGCACUGUGCAAACACGAAAGUGGACGUAUACGGUGUGACGCCUGCCCGGUGCCGGAAGGUUAAUUGAUGGGGUCAGCGCAAGCGAAGCUCUUGAUCGAAGCCCCGGUAAACGGCGGCCGUAACUAUAACGGUCCUAAGGUAGCGAAAUUCCUUGUCGGGUAAGUUCCGACCUGCACGAAUGGCGUAAUGAUGGCCAGGCUGUCUCCACCCGAGACUCAGUGAAAUUGAACUCGCUGUGAAGAUGCAGUGUACCCGCGGCAAGACGGAAAGACCCCGUGAACCUUUACUAUAGCUUGACACUGAACAUUGAGCCUUGAUGUGUAGGAUAGGUGGGAGGCUUUGAAGUGUGGACGCCAGUCUGCAUGGAGCCGACCUUGAAAUACCACCCUUUAAUGUUUGAUGUUCUAACGUUGACCCGUAAUCCGGGUUGCGGACAGUGUCUGGUGGGUAGUUUGACUGGGGCGGUCUCCUCCUAAAGAGUAACGGAGGAGCACGAAGGUUGGCUAAUCCUGGUCGGACAUCAGGAGGUUAGUGCAAUGGCAUAAGCCAGCUUGACUGCGAGCGUGACGGCGCGAGCAGGUGCGAAAGCAGGUCAUAGUGAUCCGGUGGUUCUGAAUGGAAGGGCCAUCGCUCAACGGAUAAAAGGUACUCCGGGGAUAACAGGCUGAUACCGCCCAAGAGUUCAUAUCGACGGCGGUGUUUGGCACCUCGAUGUCGGCUCAUCACAUCCUGGGGCUGAAGUAGGUCCCAAGGGUAUGGCUGUUCGCCAUUUAAAGUGGUACGCGAGCUGGGUUUAGAACGUCGUGAGACAGUUCGGUCCCUAUCUGCCGUGGGCGCUGGAGAACUGAGGGGGGCUGCUCCUAGUACGAGAGGACCGGAGUGGACGCAUCACUGGUGUUCGGGUUGUCAUGCCAAUGGCACUGCCCGGUAGCUAAAUGCGGAAGAGAUAAGUGCUGAAAGCAUCUAAGCACGAAACUUGCCCCGAGAUGAGUUCUCCCUGACUCCUUGA
rnacentral:rRNA from 1 species